GACGAACGCUGGCGACGUGCCUAAUACAUGCAAGUAGAACGCACAGUUUAUACCGUAGCUUGCUACACCAUAGACUGUGAGUUGCGAACGGGUGAGUAACGCGUAGGUAACCUGCCUGGUAGCGGGGGAUAACUAUUGGAAACGAUAGCUAAUACCGCAUAAUAUUAAUUAUUGCAUGAUAAUUAAUUGAAAGGUGCAAUUGCACCACUACCAGAUGGACCUGCGUUGUAUUAGCUAGUAGGUGAGGUAACGGCUCACCUAGGCGACGAUACAUAGCCGACCUGAGAGGGUGAUCGGCCACACUGGGACUGAGACACGGCCCAGACUCCUACGGGAGGCAGCAGUAGGGAAUCUUCGGCAAUGGACGAAAGUCUGACCGAGCAACGCCGCGGGAGUGAAGAAGGUUUUCGGAUCGUAAAGCUCUGUUGUAAGAGAAGAACGGGUGUGAGAGUGGAAAGUUCACACUGUGACGGUAUCUUACCAGAAAGGGACGGCUAACUACGUG
rnacentral:rRNA from 1 species